UGCCUGUUCGAGCGUCAUUACAACCCUCAAGCUCUGCUUGGUCUUGGGCCUCACCCGCAAGGGCGGGCCCUAAAAUCAGUGGCGGUGCGUCUGGCUCUCAGCGUAGUAAUUCUCUCGCUACAGGGCCUGGUGGACACUUGCCAUAACCCCAAUUUUCUAUGGUUGACCUCGGAUCAGGUAGGGAUACCCGCUGAACUUAA
rnacentral:misc_RNA from 1 species